rnacentral:miRNA from 1 species
GUGAAAGUGCUGUUUGUGUGUGAAAAAGGCAAAAAAAUGUCAUCAUUGUCAUCACAAUGAUGACAUUUUUUGCCUUUUUCACACACAAACAGCACUUUCACCG